UACGGAGGGUGCGAGCGUUAAUCGGAAUCACUGGGCGUAAAGCGCGCGUAGGCGGCUUUUCAAGUCAGGGGUGAAAUCCCACGGCCCAACCGUGGAACUGCCUUUGAAACUGUAGAGCUUGAGUGUCGGAGAGGGUGGUGGAAUUCCAGGUGUAGGAGUGAAAUCCGUAGAUAUCUGGAGGAACACCGGUGGCGAAGGCGGCCACCUGGACGACAACUGACGCUGAGGUGCGAAAGCGUGGGUAGCAAACAGG
rnacentral:rRNA from 1 species